rnacentral:tRNA from 2 species
GGCCAGGUAGCUCAGUCGGUAGAGCAGUGGACUGAAAAUCCUCGUGUCGGUGGUUCGAUUCCGCCCCUGGCCACCA